rnacentral:rRNA from 1 species
GGAGUCUGGGCCGUGUCUCAGUCCCAAUGUGGCCGUUCAACCUCUCAGUCCGGCUACUGAUCGUCGACUUGGUGGGCCGUUACCUCACCAACUAUCUAAUCAGACGCGAGCCCAUCUUUCAGCGAUAAAUCUUUGAUCGUAAAAUGAUGCCAUCUCACGAUGUUAUGCGGUAUUAGCAGUCGUUUCCAACUGUUGUCCCCCUCUGAAAGGCAGGUUGCUCACGUGUUACUCACCCGUCCGCCACUAAGCUUGAAAAGCAAGCUCUCCAAGCUCCGUUCGACUUGCAUGUGUUAGGCGCGCCGCCAGCGUUCGUCCUCGAGCCACUGAUCAAACUACU